GUUCCUUACGGAGGUGUAGAAAAUCUGUAGCAUGAUGUAAUGGAAUUAAGAAUGGGUCAAUGAAAUAUACAGCUCCUUUCUGGAAUGUACCUGUUCUGCUACAACCAUGGAUAUCCUGACCUUUCUGUGCCUUUCAGGGACAAGGGUAAUAGAGGAGUUUCAGACUCCCUCUAAAACAAAACAACAACUGAACAAUAAACAACAGAAAAAGAACACAAAAAAAGACGGUGGUACUCUUUCCCCUUUCCUUGCUUUCUCCUGCUACCAAAACAAACAACAAAAACUACAUUGUCUCAUUGGAUGACGAAGCUAAAAUUUUGUAGCAAAUCUAUAGAAGAAAAGAAGUGGAAAUCUACUCAAGAGCUACUGUAAAACACUGUAUACAAAACAACCACUUUGAUUCACAUUAAAAAGUGUUAUCUGUUUCUUUGAAUUCAUAAGCUAGAUAUUAAUCCAUCUUUAGAAGAGAAGAAAGCAAAGAUCGUAGAUGACAAGUCUUGCUUUCUUGUAAGUAUCUUUGAAUCUGUAUGUUUGCCAUCACAAGUUCUCAGAUCAAUUAACUAUUGUUUACUUCCAAAAAAAAUCUGGCAUGGCUUAUGAAGAUGUAUAUAUAUAACAACAUCAGUAUGAAUGGGAUAAUACAACAAGACCAAGGGAAACUAAACUUGUGUAAUUAUUGAAGGUAGUAAGCAUCUAACAGACAUUUUGUCUGUUGUAGUUUAGAUUUAAAUUUGCCACUGAAAUCAGCCUCUUCUUGGGGAUUUCCUGCUUGUACUGAUGAGCCAAUACCCCUCCCUUUAUACUCAUUUUCACAGAAAUUCUUUGCUAAUUCAUUGCCUAGCUCGCUCUGUAACAUUCAUAACCAUCUUCAACACCACCUCCAGACUGACUGCAGUUUGACAUAAAAAAUGGCCUUAGAAAAGGCUCUGGCUGGGAAAUUUCAUUCCAGCAUGGCAGAAAUGUAAAGAGUCUGUUGUGAUAUAAGUACUAUUUAUCAGGCUCCUAUAAAUCUCCUUAGCAUAGUCAGCAGAGUCCAAGAUACAAACUUCCUAGCAAGUCUGCAGGUAAAUUCAGAUAAAGCAAUCACAACUUGGCCUGGGGAGUGGAUUCAUGCUCUCUAGAAUAAGAGUUGCAUGGUGUGCAAAAAGAUUCUGCAAAAAGAGUCAAAA
rnacentral:lncRNA from 1 species